rnacentral:lncRNA from 1 species
AAGAUGGUGAUGAAAUAAAAGAAAACCAUUCAAGUGCACUCCAACCCACUGUGACAGGUAUCACGAAAUGAAGAGCAACCCAGACACGGGGAGAGAUGCCAGCAGCUCAAGCACAGGGGGACACCAUACGGGGACAACUGUCAUACGAGGCAACCGUCUGCAAGCUCAGCUAUGUCACCAGCAUCUUGAUCAGUCCCCAGCUCAUCAGUGGGAUGGCUUGGGUGUUGCCCUCUGAAGGUUUCUGUGUUGGACCCUUGGUGCUCAGGACAGCUAUACUGGGAGGGGGUACCGAUAGGAGUCAGCUAGAGACACCCUCACCCAGUGCCCAAGCUCCUCAGGCUUCCUGGUUUGAAAUGCCAUCCUUCCUUCACCUGUGCUCUCUUGCAAAGUGAUCCAGCCAAGAGGGUUUUCAGAGAGCUGACCCAGCCGGCACCAUAGCUUGCAUCACCCAAUGGUGAGCUCAGUGAACCCCUUUCUACCUGCCUCACACAUUUAAUUAUAGCCAUGAAAAUGUACUGGAACACUAGGUGGGCUCAGUACAUGUUUUUCAAAU